GCAGCUCCAGGCCUGGGCUGCCUCGGCCUGAGACGAGGGCUCAGGCCAGGUUCCAGCGCCAGGCGUCUCCUCGCGGCAGGGAGAGGGCUGUCCUGGAGGGGCCACACGGUGGGGUGGCCCGGCACGCCCACACACCCAGUGGCCCUCCGUCAGGGCCAGCCUAUGGACUGAGAGGACUGGCACGGCCAGCAAGCUCCUCUGAGCCCACUCUCGCUCCCUGGGCUGUGCACCGCCGGGAACGCACCUUCCCUCGGGCCUGAGGCCACCGCUGUUGGGAUGCCCCGAGCCUCUCUGGUGCCACGUGCAUGUGCCGCCCUAACCCAGGUUCUCUGUCCCGUGUGGGGCGGCUGCCGGCCUUGGCAGGAUGGUUUCUGAUGCUCUGGCCUCCCGCUGUCCUGCCCCCCCCACUCUUCGCUCAUCCUGGACGAGGGUGACAGUGCUAAAGUGAGACGCCUUUGUGGAGGAAAAAGGAAUGCUAAAGGAAGGUCACUCUGAAGGCAGCUGUGAUUCAUGGCUAAAGUGAAGAGUCAAAGAAAUGUAGCACCCUGUGGGACCAAAAAACACUGGAAAUCCAGGGUGGUGAGGCUGAUUUCUCUUUUAUUCCUGGGCAUUCCGUUUCCUUCUUCCCUCUCAUUUCAAUUACUAGUCGCCACAGAAAAUCCAGCUUGGACGUUCUGAGGACGCACAGCAUGGCAGUGCAGGGCCUGACCACACUGCGAGGACCACGCUGCCCUCCUGCUGCGCGCCUGCUUGGGCCCGCCCUUCCCAGGGCCAGAGCACAGCACUUCCUCUGAGCUGCCUGCAGCAUUUCCGCCAUGUUUCCUAGGAGGCAAUUCCCAGCCCACAAGCUGGUGACAGCCGUGGAUCUUACCAUCACAACCAGAGGGGAAUGUGUCUGUCACCCUGUGAGCUUCCCAGGCCUCUGAGUCUCCACUUGUCCGUGAGGGGCUGGGACUUUAGGGCUCCUUCCGCCACUCAGCUUAGUCCUCCCAGAUCUGCUGGUCACAUGGUGGGAAGGUCCUUUCUCUACGGGUUCCCAAAGACACUGACAGGGCUGAAGGAACCACAGUGAAAAUGACCGACUUCAUCUCAACACUUGCUAGCCCCGUGAGACGGGCACCAGCUCCCGCCUCUUGCUGCAGCCUGAGUGCCUCGUGGGCCUGUGGCAAACCUGCCUUUGUGUAGCUGGACAGCUGCUAGAUGAGCCGCCUCCUGGCCACGCACAGCACAUAAGCCCAGGCCCGAGUGUUAGGGAAGUGGGUCUAAAAGAAAUCAAUGUGAAACUGCUUUAUAAAGUAAAAAAAAUAUACAUCUAUAUAAUAUUAUCAUUUGGACAGAAAUUUAACAUCAGACCCGCAGCUCUUGACUCUGAGCGCUAACUACUCAUGCCUCAGACACUGCACUUCAUUGCUGUCCGUACACACUGGAAGGGCCGGGCAGUCCAUUUGGUGGACCUGAAUGUUGAGUCUCAUGUCCUUUCCUCUCCUCUGAGAACACUUUGCAGCUGCACGAGCAGCAGGCCGCAUCAGCAUUGUCGUGUUAGAUGCUGCCGCGGUACGACCUUGUUCUGUGUAAGCUGUAGGACACUCUGGCCCAAAGAAUGCCAGGGACACUUUUCCUAAUCCCUCUUCACAGCAAAGUCCAUCUGUACCAGGGCAAAGAGCAUAAAGCCCGCUGACGUCCCCUCAGAGUUUGAGGGGAAAGGAAUAUUUACCACAGACAGAAGACACCAUGUCUCUUUUCUUGAAGUUGAUGUCAUUUAGGUCCUGGUUUGUUCAGUCUCAUGACGACAGUGUUGUGGGGGCGAGGUUUGGGGGAGGUUAAAAAAUGGCCUCAGGCCUUUGAGUUUGGCCUUUGUGAUUCCCAGUGGGGACAGUGAAGGCCAGGCCCCGCCGCUGCCCGAGAGAGUCCCAGAAAGCACCAAGAGAAUGUGGCGUGUGCGGCACUCGGUGUGAGCCACUGGGGCCAGAGUUCUGCAGCCCUUUGAUGGGGAUGGAAUGUUUCACGACGGUGCCAGAAUCUCCACCACCGCGGUCCCAAACUUGGACAUGGUCCAACAUCUGUGACCCAGAUGAUUUGCUCGUAGGACACCCUGGCAGCUCACAUCCGACGUCCUGCAGUGUCUGGGUGGCCGCCGUCAGCCAGAGAGGCUGCCUGGUUCCAGCCCCAGAGGAACCUCUUACAUGCAUCAUUGAGAGAUUUCAUAUGACUGGCGUUGCUGGAGCUCAGAGGGCACUCUCCAGCCCUCCCAGCCAUCAAAGCAGCCUCCCGUGGUUCCUUUGCGACUAAGACGGUCGCUGAUGGUGCUGCUGCGUGCACCCGGAACUGCAGGUCUUGGGAACCCCACCUGUGCAGCAGGGACUCCCAGCGAUGAGCCGUGACGACACUUCCCAUGGAAACGUUGACAUCUCACAGAUUCUUAGGGUACUCUUUACUGCAUCAAGACACCUAGGAUGGUCUUCCCCCCGCCAACGGCGGCGCACGUCGCCUCCCUCCGCAGGCUCACGCGCUUUCCCUGCACUGCCCGCUGAGCUCGUGAGCCCUCCUCCUUAAGCUCCCUGCUGCUCCCACCAGGUGGCCUUGCGGUCUUCCUGGGCCAUGUGACAGACCAACACUUGGAGAAGAGCGUUGGGCCCUGGGCUCCGGCUUGGAGCUGAGGAAGAACGCCAGUGACAUGGCCCUGCGGGUGGCGCCACUCCUGUGACAACUGCCCUCUUGGGACAGACAGCUUGGGUUGAACGUUUGCCUGGUCCCCUGAACACAAAUGUUAACAUAUUUUUGUUGAGUUAUUGAUUCAACACAGGGAUCCCCUGCCUGUGCCCCACCCCUCUAAAGCCACGAUGAUUACAGACCCACCCAGAGACCGUGGACCCGGCCACCUGCGUCUCGGCUGCAGG